rnacentral:rRNA from 1 species
UACAGAGGUGGCAAGCGUUGUUCGGAAUUACUGGGCGUAAAGGGCGUGUAGGCGGUCUUCUAAGUCAGACGUGAAAUCCCCCGGCUUAACCUGGGAACUGCGUCUGAUACUGGAUGGCUUGAGGUUGGGAGAGGGAUGCGGAAUUCCAGGUGUAGCGGUGAAAUGCGUAGAUAUCUGGAGGAGCACCGGUGGCGAAGGCGGCAUCCUGGACCAAUUCUGACGCUGAGGAGCGAAAGCCAGGGGAGCAAACGGG